GAGGAGGGUGGCCAAGAGUCAUGGGAUGUGGGGUACAUUAGAUACCAGAGAAGAUUUGCCUGGACGUUUUAUAGUUGUGAACUAUCACAAUGUGUGGUCUUUUGUGUCUGGAUUUAGUGCAUUUUCAAGGGUGAUCCAUGUUGUAGAAGGAGUGUUUUAAAGAGAGGACUUCUUUGGGAUCCCUGGAAUGGAAGAGCACAGUUUUAUGAGGUCUAUUGAUGGUGGUUUCCCACAACAAAAUAAAUG